rnacentral:tRNA from 1 species
GCCUGGGUGGCUCAGCGGUUUAGCACUGCCUUCAGCCCGUGGUGUGAUCCUAGAGACCUGGGAUCGAAUCCCACCUCAGGCU